rnacentral:rRNA from 1 species
GAAAUGCGAUACUUGGUGUGAAUUGCAGGAUCCCGCGAACCACCGAGUCUUUGAACGCAAGUUGCGCCCGGAGCCUUCUGGCCGAGGGCACGUCUGCCUGGGCGU